CGAGCAGGUGGCCGACCUGCCCGAGCGGCUGCCGGUCGAGGACCGGCCCGUGGUGGCGACGAUCCUCUCGGUGCUGCUCGA
rnacentral:tRNA from 1 species